UACGUAGGGUGCGAGCGUUAAUCGGAAUUACUGGGCGUAAAGCGUGCGCAGGCGGUUUUGUAAGCCAGGUGUGAAAUCCCCGGGCUUAACCUGGGAAUGGCAUUUGGGACUGCAAGGCUUGAGUGCGGCAGAGGAGACUGGAAUUCCUGGUGUAGCAGUGAAAUGCGUAGAUAUGUGGAGGAACACCGAUGGCGAAGGCAGCCCCCUGGGUUAACACUGACGCUCAUGCACGAAAGCGUGGGGAGCAAACAGG
rnacentral:rRNA from 1 species